GGUUUGGUAAAGCUGUUAACACUUCUGACUACGGAUCAGAAGAUUCUGGGUUCGAAUCCUGGCAUGUUCG